rnacentral:misc_RNA from 1 species
AAAGUCGUAACAAGGUCUCCGUUGGUGAACCAGCGGAGGGAUCAUUACAGAGUACCUGCUCUAUAAAACCCACUGUGAACCUACCUUUUUUGUUGCCUCGGCGGGCGGCUCCAGGGCGGAGCCAGUGCCUCUUUGCUGAGGUGCCCGCCGAAGGCCCACCAAUACUCUGCUGUCAUUAGCAUAUCUGGGUCAAAACACAAAUACGUUAAAACUUUCAACAACGGAUCUCUUGGUUCUG